rnacentral:ncRNA from 1 species
AAACUCUGGAGAGAGGGGUCACCGCCCCCGCCGAAGGGAUAACGAUCUCAGGCACACGGACAGAGGGGG